UUUAAAUGUUAAUUGGAGGUCAGAGUUUUUAAAAGUUUAUUUUAAAAUAUUUAUUCUUUUAAUUUAUUAUGCUAUCUUGCAAAGGAGUACGAUGCUCACAUAUACUAACUAGCUAAUAGGUACAGUAAAAAUAAUACUUUAUUGGUAAUCAUGAAUCUGCUUUUUUUUUCAAAAUGUUUUUAAUGUCAAUUGGCAUCUGACCGGUUGGGGUUCUUAAAGUAUUCUGCAAUUUAGUAUCUGUCAAUACAGAUCUUGUUUUAGAUUUAGCAAAUUUCAUCAGAGAAAACACACUUUUACACAAGUAUAUUCUACCAAACAAGACAACCAUCAUUUUUACAUUGUCAAAAGCUAUAUUGCUUUAUUUAUUUUGGUCAAGAUUUUUGUAAAAUGUCAGCAAAUUUUGUUGAUUAUAUUCCUCUCCAAUCAUCACUGCAUUGAACUGACACUUUUAGAUUUAUUUCUUUGAUUUAAUUUCUGGCUUGGAAAAAAUAGCGGAUGAUGUCCUCUGGCUUGGAAAAAAUAGAGGAUGAUAUCACAUUUACAAAUUUAUAGUGGGUUUUGUUAAUAAAUUUGGAAUAAAAAUGACUGACACA